UCAGGCUCUUGGGUGUUGCUACUUCCUCCAUGAAUCCUUGAAAAACAUCCAACAGUUUGAUUUCAAAGCCAAGAAGUUCAAGAAGGUGUUCGGGAAGGAGAUCCACUGUGACGCUCUGAGCUCAGCCUCACUGGAAAAGGAGAAGUUUCCUCAGGACUAUUUCCCGGAGUGCAAGUGGUCCAGAAAAGGCUUCAUCAGAACCCGGUGGAUCUGGGGGACUGGUGAGUCCUAGACCCCCGAAACCAGAUCGAGAGAGA